GUAGGGAAUAUUGGGCAAUGGAGGCAACUCUGACCCAGCCAUGCCGCGUGCAGGAUGACGGCCCUCUGGGUUGUAAACUGCUUUUAUACGGGAAGAAAAAAUACUACGUGUAGUAUACUGACGGUACCGUAAGAAUAAGGAUCGGCUAACUCCGUGCCAGCAGCCGCGGUAAUACGGAGGAUCCAAGCGUUGUCCGGAUCUAUUGGGUUUAAAGGGUGCGUAGGCGGAUCUUUAAGUCAGUGGUGAAAGCCUGCAGCUUAACUGUAGAAUUGCCAUUGAAACUGAAGAUCUUAAAUGUGGUUAAAGUAGGCGGAAUGUAUCAUGUAGCGGUGAAAUGCUUAGAUAUGAUACAGAACACCGAUAGCGAAGGCAGCUUGCUGAACCAUUAUUGUCGCUGAGGCACGAAAGCGUGGGGAGCGAACAGGAUUAGAAACCCUAGUAGUCC
rnacentral:rRNA from 1 species